AGGGUUAGGGUUAGGGUUAGGGGUUAGGGUUAGGGUUAGGUUUAAGAGGGUUUAUGUUUGUGUUGGUGUCAAACCUUAGGUUGCACGGGCCUAUUGCACCCCCUACCGGUCCGGAGAAAGUGGGAGGGCAUGAGAGACUGAGCGCUCCGAGGGGCCAUCCACAACAAUUCAAAAGUAGGAGGAGGACAAUCAUCCAAAAACCACCUGGGAGUAAAAUGUUUAACCUUAAACCAAAUUUCAUAUAAAAUCACAUUAAAACAUGCAUACCAGAUCAAUAGGCAACUAAAAAAGAAAAAUUGGAUUUCCUUUAAAAGUUGAAUAAAUAAUCAAGUAAAUAAGAUGAAGGAAUCACCUGUCAUGUUAAAAUGUAUAAUAUAAUAAAACUCAGCACCAAAUACAAAAAAAGACACCACCAGGUUCAGCAAUCAAAUGCUUCUUUCUUAUUAUUUUAACCUCCUCCUCGUUC